GGAGCGGCGGCGCGGCGGUGCCGCAGGAAAUUUUAUCAAUACCGUGGCCGUCUAGUGGGUGACAGUCGCUCGUGAAAAGUACGCGGUCAUCUGACGGGGUUGGCAAGUCAGCGGAUAGCUCUAGUUCGGGAAACCAACAGCGAUUGACGAACAACAUGGCCACCGAAGGCGGUCUAGCACCUGAUGCUGCUGCGGGUGCAGGUGCAGGUUCUGAUGGAAUCGUCGGAGGUCCCAGGACGCCUCAGCAGAUCGCCUCGCAGAAACGACUGCAGGCGACGCAGGCGCAGGUAGACGAGGUCGUUGACAUCAUGAAAACGAAUGUUGAAAAAGUGUUGGAACGUGAUCAAAAGCUCUCUGAGCUCGAUGAUCGAGCAGACGCGCUUCAGCAAGGAGCGUCACAAUUUGAACAACAAGCAGGAAAACUGAAGAGGAAGUUUUGGCUACAAAAUUUGAAGAUGAUGAUCAUCAUGGGCGUCAUCGCACUAAUCAUAUUGGCCAUCAUAGUUGCGAACUUCAUGUAGACGCGCUGGUUGGUGGAAAAGAUUUGUGUGUGAGUGGGUCUGAAGCGAGCGCCAUCGGCGGCAGCGACUCGCAAAACUGUACACGUGAGUAAAAUUAAGGCAACAACAACAACAGCAAAAAAAAAACAGAAAACAAAAGCAACCAAAGCGAAACGAAGGCGAGCGAACAAACGGCGGGGAAUUUGAACGUGUGAGACGAGUUUGAGACUGCGUUACAAUAAAAGAAAAAUAGGAUGGAAAAGGAUACACGCAAUCGAUGAGCAACAAGUAACAGCAACAAUAGCAAAGCAACAAUAAGGAAAAAUUGUACGAUAAGAUCGAAAUAACCUAAAGAAGUGGAGGAACAGUGGUAAUAACGAGCCAUCGAUGAGAGUACCGAUUAUCGAUAGAGGUUCUUCGACCUUCCAAGUUCGACAAAACUCAAAAAAUAAAAUCAGGAAAAAAGAAAGAAGCGAAGAAUAAAUUGAAAUGUAAAGGAUAUGUUAUAUCGAGGAAGAGAAGAUCGAAGAAGAAGAGAUCAUAACGAUUGCGGUUCCGUUUGCAAUUCCGCCAUCAUGUUCGAGAUCCAAAACGAUGCUUUCGAUUCGAACACGACAGUAGACUCGAUCAAAUUCAUUUUGUCAACGUUUCACAAAUGGACGAAGGCCGGCCGCGAAAAGAGGAAACGCACGAUAAAAAGAGCGAAUGGUUUACAAUUAGAAAGUUUCGUCGAUCGUUCGUCUAAGCAUUGUAACGGUUACAUCGACCGAUAGCAAAGCGGAAAAAGGGUGAUCGUACGGAAUAGAGAGGAAGAGGAUGUAAUAACUGAUCUAAUAAUUAAUCGAUUCUUGCCUUCCUUCGUCCAUCCUUAUGAGCUAAUCCGCGCUAAAUAAAUGAAUAAAGGAGAGAGAAUAAGGAGAGAGAAUUAAUGGCCAGUGUGUACAAAGAGAAGAAGGGAGUUAGAGAGAAGAUGAGGAAUUAUCGCGAUACAGGGUGUCCGUAAAAACUAGCAGGAUCUUUUCGACGAAGGCAGCGUGUCGUAGGGAAUUUUCAUUGUGUCCCCCUUCCUUCCGUAAAGAAGUGCCGAAUAUAAAUAAAUAAAUAAAUGUGUGUAUAAAUGUAUAUCGACGUUUACUUUAUAAAUAAAACAUGUAUGGCGAGUUACGAGGAAGAGCGUACGAUCCAGGAGAGAAAUCGUGAGAACGCGGAUCUUCCAUCGUUCCAAACCAUUUUGUGAUUCUGCUUCGAGACUCGGGCUUGUACAACGAUAGAACGAAAUCAUCCGUUGUUCGAUGAUUCUUGUCCAUCUCUUCCAAUCUUUACAAUCAUGUAAUCUUUAUUGUUAAAGCUUCUCAUUGUCGAGAUCUCGCUGUGUUUCCUUUCCGAUCGUUUCAUUCGUUUUUAAAAGAUGUUUCAUGAUAAAAUGUAUGAAUUAGGAUUAAGCACAAGGGAAAAUGACGAAUAUCGGUAGGACUUUUACGCUUCUGAAUAUCAAUUAAAAGUGGAAAGAUCGGCCAUAUCACGCGUGGAUCGUACGCUCUGCUUGUAACAUAUAUGUACAUCUCGUAUUGUAAAUAAUAUCAUUUCUCCUUCAUGUUCGUUCGAUUACGACCAACUGCUAAUAAUUAAAUAAACGACUCGAAAACAAGAGAAGAAAGAAAGAUAUAUGAUAACACGGUGAAAAACUAUGCAAGAUAGUGAUCGUGAUAGCGAGAGAGUAAAAAACAGAGCGAAAGGGAGAUCGAGAGAAAGAAAGAGAGUCACGUGCAUUCUUUGUUCUUUCGCGUCCGUUAUCCUUCCAUCUAAUCGGAGAAUUAAAUAAGUAGAAGAAGCCUGCCUUCGUCGAAGAUGGCAACGAAAUGUUUUCGAGCAACCUGUGCGACGAAACGAAAAGGCGGACAAGAUUAAAGAACAAAAAUAAAGAGCGGAAAAGAAAUAAAAAAAGGAAAUAAAUACAAGAAAAUAUGGAAUAAAAUAAUGCUAUGAGCGAGAAAAGAGAGAGACGCAUCGACUUGCUCGAGGCACCUAUGUAGGUUCGUUUUAAGGCUUGAAGAAUUAUCUUCAAAUGUUAUGUAUACAUGUUAAUAAUAAUAAUAAUAAUAAUAAUAACAAUAAUAAUAACAAUAACAAUAAUAAUAAUAAAUAAUAAUAAUAAAUAAUAAUAAUAAUACUAAUAAUAAUAAUAAUAACGAUAAUAAUAAUUAUGAUAAUAAUAACAACAAUAACAAUAAUAAUAGUGCAGGAUAAUAUUUAACAAGAUAAAAACCGUGCAAUGUGACCACCGUGGAAUCUAUUGGCCAUUUCGAAGAAACGAAACAAAACGGAAAAGAUACAGGUAUGGAGUGUCGUCGAUGAUCUAAGACAAUGUUACGAAGUCUACUCUAUGCACAGAAAUGUGAAAAAGUUUAAAGGCUGUUGUUGCAGAAGACGUUUUUAUUAUAUUGCAGCACACUUAUGCACUUCAUUUGUAGAAUUUCUACUUGACUGCUUACGUACUUACGUGCUUAGCGUAUGACUAUUUACAACGUACAGAAGUGCAUUUCUAGGAUCAUUUGAAAUACUUGUAACAAGUUUGAAUUUAUAGCCUUUUUCAACUUGAAACAGCUACACUCGCGGACUACGAGCUUUCGACAUUUUCAGAGAAACAUUUUUGUGUAUAGAGACGAUUUUGACUGAAAUGCGUCAUCGUUCUUCGUCGGCACUUCGUACAUGGUUGCACAGAGGAAACGAUAUCCUCAAAGUUUCUCAUCAGCCAACCACUAUAUACGAAAGAAAGAAUCCGAUGAAAGGAAGCGCAUUCAACGGCAUGACUUCUCAGGCAGCUCGAGGAAGUCGUCGAUGGUUUCCUUUUCAUUUCACUCGUUUACUCUUGUGUGCAUCCGUGUUCAUUCAUCGAACGAACGAACCAUUCCAAUUUUGGUAUUUAGAAUCCAUCGAGUCCCUUCCUCCGCGUAUAUCCGUUUUACUUCUAAAAGAAUUCAUUCAUUUGGAGAAAAAGAAAAUGAAAUGAUCGAAUAAUCAGCUACGAAAUCGGACUUCUUCCAAAUUCCUCUGUCAGUGGAAGCAAUUGUUUCUUUUCCUUCUUUCUGACGAGAUUCUAAUGAUUCGUUGAAACUACGCGAAGAAGGGGACCAGAAGUUGUUAAACGCAGAAUAGCAAGCAUUAUCGAUCGUUGGGGGAGAAGGAGUUUCAGAUAGGAUUCUUAUUCGAAUCCGAAAUCAUAGCGUUUAAAUAUGGUUAGAUUGUGUUUGAAAAAGGAAAAAAAAGAAAGAAAUAUAAAACGCAUAACUGUACGUCAUGCGAUACCUUGACCGUGUGCGUGUUAAUUAUUAACGACGAUUAUGAUCAUGAUUAUGUUGCUUUCAACAUUGUACAGUAUCGAAUAAAAAUUACAGUGCGUGGUCAGAAAAGAAACAGACAGCUGUAGGGAGCAAACGGAAAGAAAAAGAAGUGGAAACUUCCUAUGCGACUCUGUUUUGGGUACGAUCGUGUUAGGGAUGCCUUUUUGUCAUUUUCUAUUUUCCUUUGCUUUCACGUUCGACGAAAUUCCACCUCGAAGACACUGUUCUUCUAAUAACGAGAAAUACGAGGUUCGGAAUUUCGAUCACGGUCGUGGCCAGAAAAAGUCGACGUUAAUCGAUUGAAGUUGUCAACCUAGAAAAAUAUCUCACCGUUAGCCACGGAGAAAAGGAACCAUUUAGAAUCUAAUACCUAUUUAACUCCAAUAGGAGCGAAAUUCAUGCCAGAAUCGACACCACCGCCUCCAGCCUAUGCCUACCCACCACCAAAUCAGAUUCCAGGCCAAGUUGUCGCCGCUGGCGGACCAGCCGCUGCACCAGGAGGUGUAGCCGGCGGAGCAGGUAGUGCAAGCGGAUCACAAACCGCUGGUGCAGCGUUAGUUGGCAACUUGAACGGCAUUCACA